GCGUGGAUGACGAAGGCCUUCGGGUCGUAAAGUCCUUUUCUCAGGGAAGAACAAGUGAGGGAGUGGAAAGCCCUCGCCCUGACGGUACCUGAGGAAUAAGCAACGGCUAACUCCGUGCCAGCAGCCGCGGUAAUACGGAGGUUGCGAGCGUUGUUCGGAAUAACUGGGCGUAAAGGGAGCGCAGGCGGUUUGGUCAGUCUAAAGUGGAAGCCCGGGGCUCAACCUCGGAAGUGCUUUGGAUACUGCCAAACUUGAGUACGUGAGAGGUAGGCGGAAUUCCUGGUGUAGCGGUGAAAUGCGU
rnacentral:rRNA from 1 species